rnacentral:rRNA from 1 species
UACGUAGGCGGAUUUACAAGUCAGAAGUGAAAGCCCAGGGCUUAACCUUGGAAUUGCUUUUGAAACUGUAAGUCUGGAAUCCGGUAGAGGUUGGCGGAACUCCGAGUGUAGAGGUGAAAUUCGCAGAUAUUCGGAAGAACACCAGUGGCGAAGGCGGCCAACUGGACCGGUAUUGACGCUGAGGUACGAAAGCGUGGGUAGCAAACAGGAUUAGAUACCCUGGUAGUCC